rnacentral:rRNA from 1 species
AGGUAUUUGGAAGUAAAAAUCGUAACAAGGUCUCCGUAGGUGAACCUGCGGAGGGAUCAUUACACAAAUAUGAAGGCGGGCUGGAACCUCUCGGGGUUACAGCCUUGCUGAAUUAUUCACCCUUGUCUUUUGCGUACUUCUUGUUUCCUUGGUGGGUUCGCCCACCACUAGGACAAACAUAAACCUUUUGUAAUUGCAAUCAGCGUCAGUAACAAAUUAAUAAUUACAACUUUCAACAACGGAUCUCUUGGUUCUGGCAUCGAUGAAGAACGCAGCGAAAUGCGAUAAGUAGUGUGAAUUGCAGAAUUCAGUGAAUCAUCGAAUCUUUGAACGCACAUUGCGCCCUUUGGUAUUCCAAAGGGCAUGCCUGUUCGAGCGUCAUUUGUACCCUCAAGCUUUGCUUGGUGUUGGGCGUCUUGUCUCUAGCUUUGCUGGAGACUCGCCUUAAAGUAAUUGGCAGCCGGCCUACUGGUUUCGGAGCGCAGCACAAGUCGCACUCUCUAUCAGCAAAGGUCUAGCAUCCAUUAAGCCUUUUUUUCAACUUUGACCUCGGAUCAGGUAGGGAAACCCAGUCC